AGACCGUGCAGACGCCGGGCGGACAGAGCUCAAGGCUCCUCCUCCCACCCUCCUCAUGCCAGUUGCAGAGGAGGGAUGCACUCGUUACCCAGUGGACUGGAGUCUGACAGAGGUAGCCAUCAAUAGGAACGACUCUUCUUUGUGCUUGGAGCCCUGAUCCCCAUCCAGCUGCAUCUCUGCCAGGCUGAGGAAGCCGCCCGGGCCGUCCGCAGUGUCGACACGGGGCUGUCACCACUCUUGACCCGUGGCUCUGCCAUCGGCUCAGCUCCCAUGCAGAAAGAGCACCUUCGUGGGGCGAGCGUUUGUGCACCUGUGACGGGGCCCUGGGGAAGUGGCCUGGGAAGGCGAAGAUCCCCUGUGACCGAGGGCAAGUUGCAGGGCCCAUGCAAACUUGGCGGAGCACCAGCUGUGCUCUGGGGGAGCCCCGAGCCUCGCCACGGUUUGUGGAAGGUCUCUGAGGUGUCUUCCUCCCUCGUGGCCAAGGGGAAGUCACGCGUGGAGCCAGUUAUCAAGAAAGGGCCAAAAAAGCGUCCUCUGCUGGAGAGCACUUACUGCCUCUGACGGAGUGAAGUAUCCGUCUUCCCCUGCCCGCUGUUGCUCCGGGAGGGCGCUGGUCCUCGGCUGCUUGGCUUCCUGACGGAUCCCAGCGCCUGAGACAGGGACCCGCACUUAAAGGGCGCCCGGGGGCUCCGUCGGUGAAGCGUCUGCCUUCGGCUCAGGUCGUGAU